GACGAACGCUGGCGGCGUGCUUAACACAUGCAAGUCGAACGGAAAGGCCCUGCAUUUGUGGGGUGCUCGAGCGGCGAACGGGUGAGUAACACGUGAGUAACCUGCCCUUGACUUUGGGAUAACUUCAGGAAACUGGGGCUAAUACCGGAUAGGAGCUUCUGCUGCACGGUGGGGGUUGGAAAGUUUCGGCUGUUGGGGAUAGACUCGCGGCUGAUCAGCUUGUUGGUGGGGUAGUGGCUUACCGAGGCUUUGCCGGGUAGCCGGCCUGAGAGGGUGACCGGCCACAAUGCGACUGAGAGACGGCCCAGACUGCUACGGGAGGCAGCAGUGGGGAAUAUUGCGCAAUGGGCGGAAGCCUAAUGCAGCAACGCCGCGUGCGGGAAGACGGCCUUCGGGUGGUAAACCGCUUUCGCCUGUGACGAAGCGUGAGUGACGGUAAUGGGUAAAGAAGCACCGGCUAACUACGUG
rnacentral:rRNA from 1 species